GACGAACGCUGGCGGCGUGCCUAACACAUGCAAGUCGAGCGGGGGUACUGAAGAGCAAUCGGAGGUACUCGAGCGGCGGACGGGUGAGUAACGCGUGAGCAACCUGCCUUCUACUGGGGGAUAACGCAGCGAAAGCUGCACUAAUACCGCAUGAGACCACGGGGCCGAUGGUUCUGGGGGUCAAAGGAGCAAUCCGGUGGAAGAUGGGCUCGCGUCCGAUUAGGUAGUUGGCGGGGUAACGGCCCACCAAGCCAAAGAUCGGUAGCCGGCCUGAGAGGGUGAACGGCCACAUUGGAACUGAGAGACGGUCCAAACUCCUACGGGAGGCAGCAGUGGGGAAUAUUGGGCAAUGGGGGAAACCCUGACCCAGCAACGCCGCGUGAGGGAAGAAGGUUUUCGGAUUGUAAACCUCUGUUCUUGGUGAAGAGAAGAAGACGGUAACCGAGGAGGAAGCCCCGGCUAACUACGUGCCAGCAGCCGCGGUAAUGUCUGUACU
rnacentral:rRNA from 1 species